UACGUAGGGUGCAAGCGUUAAUCGGAAUUACUGGGCGUAAAGCGUGCGCAGGCGGUUAUGCAAGACAGAUGUGAAAUCCCCGGGCUCAACCUGGGAACUGCAUUUGUGACUGCAUAGCUAGAGUACGGUAGAGGGGGAUGGAAUUCCGCGUGUAGCAGUGAAAUGCGUAGAUAUGCGGAGGAACACCGAUGGCGAAGGCAAUCCCCUGGACCUGUCCUGACGCUCAUGCACGAAAGCGUGGGGAGCAAACAGG
rnacentral:rRNA from 1 species